AAGGUAGAACACAAUCAGGCGUGAUAGAAAACAGUUUGGAUGCAUAUUCAACAAUGAAAAAGCUUCCUUUGCCAGUUUAUCAGCCACACGAUUUCCAUCUCUAGGAUAAAAGCAAACUUUAAAUGCAUAAGGGGAGCUAAGAUCAGCUGCAGAUCCUGAUGGUUUAGUUAAAGUCUUUAAAACACAAAACUCUAUAAUACAAUCAGAUUUAUCAAAGUUGGGAAGAAAGAGAGGAAAUAAGAAAACCGUAUCUUUUCUACUUCUCUUCCUCUCUCGCUCUAACUAGAAGAUGGGAUAUUUCUCCAACAAGAUCUCCGAACUCAAGGCAGGAGAUCUACUCAUACCGUUCUUAUUUGUACAUCCAUCACGGUUCCAUCUCUUUCUCUAGGAAUCUAUGUAGGCGAUGGAAAAGUCUUUCAUUUCACUCGCAGAGGUGGUUUAGAAAUUGGAGCCGGAACUUUUUUAGACAUAAACAUCGAAUUUUCAGCUCCGAACCGGAACCCAUGUCUUAAUUGUGGAGAUCAAUCGAAUCUCGAAGGUGUAAUCUCUUCUUGCCUUAAGGGCACAGAGAGAAGCAACACAACUUUCUUCAAUUAAUGGCUCAAAUCAAUGGAAUUUCCUCCUCCGCCGUAGAGAUACAAACGCCUCCAUAACUUCACCUUACCUUAUCUCCGAUGGGGCCAGCAGAGAUUCUUCAGGUGCGUCAAGCUCUCACACCACCGAUCUCCUUCUUCAUUUCAUUCUUCUUUUUCCAGAUCUUAUUCCUUUUCCAGAUCAAUGAAUCUCGUUGGAACGUUUGAUUACACGAAGAUGUGCCAUUUUCCUGUAAAGAUAGUUAUUUUUGUUUAGUUUAAUUACGAAGCUUGUACAUAUGCUCCACGUCUGCCAUAGCUGAGAAUUCCACACCACUUUAUGUGCUUUGGUAUCUUCUGUUUAGGAAUAUAGUUAGCUAUAUGGAUGAGUCUCUAUGGUUGAUUGUAUGGACGAGAUUAGAAGAACACCUCUGACGCCGUAAGAUGAAAUGAGAGCUGGAAUGAAAAACAUUGGGAUUGAUGAGCAUGUCCCUUACAAUGCCCCAGUGAUUCAGUUUCUUUGUGGAUGGGUGGUGAUCGUGAUGUCGCCUAUGCUAAGUGGAAUUUCAUGGUACAACUUGUCUUCAGUGGAGGUUGGUAUCAUUACUAGUGGCUCACUUUACGGUGCCUUGAUUGGAUCCAUUGUGGAAAGGAAGUUAUGUUACUUCUCUACAUACUCCACACAAAUGUGAACAUGUGGAUAUCGCAUCUUCUUGUCAACUAUCUUCGGUUUUUCAGUUUAUCAUUUCAAUAGU